rnacentral:lncRNA from 1 species
ACCCUGGAGCAAGAGUGACCCCCACAGCUAAGGAUACAGAGCAGAAGUAACCACACAUGGGUUACUAGGGUCUUCUGGUGUCAGGCAGGAAUACAUGUCAAGUGAUCACAAAUGAGCCCCCACCAACUUGCAUCUAAUUUUUAUUUUCAAAGAGUACAUUUUCUAGGCACCCCAGACCUUGUCUGUAAGAUCAGACCUCAGUAUGGCACCUGCAUGUGCAGGACACAACCUCUCCAUACAGCCCUGCCUGGUCUGGGCCAAAGCUGCCUACCAGCAUGGGCCUCUCCACCAGGAUCUGGGUGCUGAGCCCUCCAUCCUGUCUCAGGGCUGGCCCAAGCUGCCCUAGUGGGGACCGCAGUCCUGUCUUCCUGUCCAUAAGCUGCUCCCUGGAAUGGUCUUCUAUUCCCUGGGCUGCCGCAGCCAUCUGCUCACUGCCCUGUCUUGCGUGGCACAUAACUUCAGGGUGGAUUUAUCACCCAACGUCAGAAUCUGAAUAAAUUUGUUUUAAGAGAGAAAGAGAGAGCACUUGAUAAGAAGGAACAAGAAGGUUAAGUCCAAGGCACCCAUGAGCGCGUAGUGGAUACUCUCACCGUCCCUCCUGGCUACGGUUCCCGCCAUUUCUUUGCAUUCAGCAUCUGUAGUUUCUCCAAGCUCUGUGUUACAGAGCAUAACGCCUGCCCUAAGGAUAGGGCCAAUUAGUGAGUGCUCUGUGAUGGAGUCUCAGCAGCAGUCUAAAAGGGGAAACUCAGGGCACUAUGAAUAGGUGACCCUGGGAUAAGACUACUUGGGGCUCUGAGCUAUCGGGUAUGGCCAGCUUUGGGGUCAGGUCUCAGCCUCAGUCCAUGGAAGAGGCUCUGGGGAAGGGUGAGGUUAAAGCCUUGGCUACACUCCUAGAGACUUACCCAUCUCAUGGACACGGUCUUCCAGGGCUCCUGACAACUCAGGGAGGCUCAAGGCCUGCAGGGGAAUGGGCCAGCCUUUGGAAUCUGUGGUAUAGAAUGGUGAGUUGGCCACGGGUUUGUCCUCACUGUUGAUGCAUGAGUGACCGAGCAGCCAAGGUAGGGAAGCCUCUCAGGCUUGUACCCAGCUACUGGUUUAAUAGCUGCCACUUAAGGCUCAGCUUAAGAAGAUAUGAACCCUGAGAGCUGCAGCCACCCAACUCACUAGAGGCCUUAAAGACAGUGUAGUGGGCCAUGAGACAAUGGCCCUUACACUUGCCACCUACCCCUAAGAGUAAUAGCACAUCCCUUAUCACAAAUGGGCAUGAUCUGGGGACUGGGUUGUCACUGUGACAGAUAUGCAAAGAGAGCCCACUGGUGAGAACUUAGCUUAGGGAUUCCUGCCCACCUGGUCCUAGUCCAGAACCAGGCUAUUAGUUUCUUACCUGCUGAGAGAAAGUGUGGGUUUGGAGUACCUUCCCUGGGGGAGUGGUGCUGCCGCAAUCGAGCUGACAGCUCAGCUUGACAGGCCCUGCAGGACAUAGGACCAAGUGUGAUACUGAAGAGGCCCUGCCCCAAACCCAAACCCAAACCCGUGGGGUAAGGGAAAUCAAAUCAGCCCCAGAGCCAGCCCGAGAAGCCCAUACUGUUCAGCUGGAAAGACACGCAGAUCCCUAGUCUGCUGUAAGUCAAGCCUGGGUCUGCACUGUGGGACACAUCCCCAGAAAGAGGCACUAUGGUUCCCCCACCUCUCACCUGCUUAGAGGAUGCGAAAGGGACAAUGCCCGACAAGUGUGUGUGGGUGUCUACCUGAGUAUGUGAGCCCACUUACCGCAGCUGGUCCAGGACAAGGGCAGCAUCCUGGGCCAGGGUUUGGGCCUCCUGCAGCUGGGCAUGGAUGUCCUUUCGGGCACUAUCCUGCUCCAGGAGGCAGCUCUCUACUACAGCCCGCAAUUCCUGCUCCUGGGAUACCUGGCCACGCAGAGCCUCUGCCUCCUCACAGCACUGUAGGCAAAUACCAGGCUAUAGGGCCCAAGCCAGGAAGCCAAGGCCCAUGCUUAUUUCCCCAGUCUGUUAGGUGCCUGUCUGCCUCUCUCCAGCCUGUUCUAGGAUUUCCUCAUUUGGCUCCAUCUUGCAGCUUCCAGGUUCUGUGAGCCAUUUUCUCUAACUAGCUCUUCCUCCUAAAUUCAUCUGACUUUUGGCUGUUCCAUCUACCUUCAAGUUUCCUGUCUCUAGUGCCCUGCUACAGAGGAGUGACUCUAGAUGUCCUCUGCCUCCUGUGUCCACAGCCCACCAGGACUUUCCCACUUACUUUAUGCAACUGAAUGGCAAGCUCCUGCAUCUCAGUCUCCAGCCGGUCAGCAUAGGCCAGCUCUAGGGCAUCACUAGGUGGGCGGGCACUGCUGUGCCAGCGGGCAAUGGCAGAGGUCAUUUUCCUUUUGGGCCCAAACAACCUGAGUGGGUAAAUCAGGGUGCAUGUUACCUUCUGUCAUGUGCAUGGACCUUGGUACCAACCUGCCACCAAGGCCAGUCACUAGGGAACACCUAACUGAAGAAGGGAGGUUGUAGAAGAUCCUAGGGCAGAGAACCAAAACAAGAGUGUCUAAAAAGCCUCCACCAUCAUUGGCUUCAGGCUUGGACAACUGUGUCUGUGCUCUCAAGGGAGAUCUCCAGGAAUCUCCCCUCCAGACAAGUGCCGUGGGAGUCACUGCAGGCUUCCGUGAGUGAGUGCAGCCAGCUUAGGCUUAAGCUCAGCUCUACAUAGCAGCAGCCAUCCCGACACAACAUUCAGGAAGCAGGGUAGGCAAGGCAGACCCUGUCCUCCCAGUAUCAAGACAGAACUUCUGGUUACUGAGGGCCACUGCUAUAAGCCACUCAUUCACUCUGCCUGAAGAGGUAGGAUUUGGAGAUUGGGGGAGUGAGGAGUGCUCUAAGGGCAAUACCUCUUAUUUCUUCAUUUUCCCUGUGUAGGGAGUCAACAACAAAGUCUAGGACACUGAAAGUACCUGCAUGCCCAGAACAUUGGUGCACUUUGGAAGGUGGGCAUGAGAGUUCAGGAUCACCCUUGACUACAGAGAAGUGACUUGUCUCAAAGCAACUACAGAUGGGAGGAAAGUCAUCACUUGUGCCUAGGGAAAGGUACAGGCUCUAAGGGGACCUUCAGGUUUCACCCUCCAACUAGUCCUGUGCACAGAAGCAGCCAACAACAGUAAGUUUAAAAAAAAACAGAUCCCUGGAGAUCAUCUGUCUUCUAAGUCUUGUUUGUCCUCCUCUCUCUGAUAAUACAGCUGGAAGAAAUUCUUGGCCAACAAUUUUUCAAUCAUCUCUUUAUUUCCUUACACAUUCAUUAAAGAGGUUAUAGUGCAUCUAAAUUUUAUCAAUGAAUAAGGAAGUUUUGUAUAUGUUGGGUGCUGGAUGUCUUGUGACAGUUUGUUAGGUAGUAGAACUGCAAAACUGAGCAACAGAAACAAAGCCUCCAUUCUUAUAGAGUUGCAGUUGAGGGAAAGUUGCUUAACGUAAUAUUUCACAUGCUACUUCACAGCUCAUUUGUAGUAGGUUCUGUGAAGCACAAGAAGACCUCACCUUCAGUGAUCAUAAGAUCCUAAGUCUUAUGGGGGAAGGGAAAGGCCCUGAGUUCAUGAGACUUAACUAUCCAUUUCAACAACAAAAUUAAAAGACAAGAAGUAGAGUAUGGUUCAUUUACAAGAGAAUAAACCACAGAAGUUCCAAAAAAAGCCCUGCAGCAGGUCUGCUAGACAAAGGCCUUGAAACAACCAUCUUAAAGAUAAUCAAAACUAAAAGAUGAUGUGGAAGUAAUACAAAAUGGAGAGACAAUGGAGAGAAAUGUAAAACACAAGCAAAGAAGUAAGGAAACUGAGGAAAAGCCUCCUAAAACAGGCAGAGGCAGCUUUACAUAAGCGGACAAAGAACAGAAUGAUGGAACUGGAACACAACGGAAUUCAGUCUGAGGAGUAAGAGAAUAAACCCACGAGUAAAGCUCGAGACCACAUGGGGCCAGGUCUUUCUUACGAGUGCCUCAGUGAUAGGAGGGCAGAGGGUCUGAAGAGCUGGCAGAUGGAAACUUCCACUCCUGAUCGAAUAUAUGAACAUCUGUGAAGCCAAAUGAACUCCACAGAUGAUGAAUACCAGGACACAUGGCUAAGCUAAAGACUUACAGCACCUUGGAACAACAAAAGAAAAGCAGCUCGUCCCAUGCAGGGAGCUUCAGUAAAGUUCUCAUUCGAAACUCUGGAAGGCUGCAGCAGCCACAGUGCCAAAGCAAACAGCUGUCACCAAGAAUCCUUUACCUGGGAAAACUGUCCUUCCAAAGUGCAGGACAGAGUCAGACAUUCCCAGAUAGGCAAACACCGAGGAAGCCCUGCUGAAAGCAGGACAACUGCUGCACCAGAGCCACCUAGGGGAGAGCACUUCCAGUGUGAGAGCCACCCAUUGAGUCACAGCCAAGUCACAAACUGCAGUUGUGUAUAUGGAACGUUUUGAGACAAAAGGCAUAUUACAUGGUUUGGAUUUCAUAUUAAAAGAUUUAUAUUCAAGCUUUUGAGAAAUAAAAAGCCUGUGCUAUAAAAUACCAACUCCAGAACUAUGAAAGUUAUCAUGAAAAAAAUAUUUUAAAAUCACAAAAAAAACUGAAAAUAUCAAAGCUCAAAGGUCCAGCAUACAGCAGCAGCGAGGCCAUCUUGGAGCCAUGUGGGCACAAAGGCUGCUGUCUAUACAUCCUACCUGCUGGUGUACAGGCUGGAAGAAUGGCUGAAAUUGGUGGGGUGGGGGAAUGCAUUAGGGGACUCACGUGAUGCCAAUUUCCUUCAAAUCGCUUUCAGUGAGAGUCAGAAAGAUACGCAGGUCUAUGUCCUGCUCCUCGAACACUUGCAGGUACUUCAGACACCCGAUCUGUUCCAGCAGUGUGGCAAGGUCCUGGGGUAGAAGAGACCACUGGGAGGCCUGGGGACCAGGACGGGAGAACUGGUCUCCUUGGGACGCUGACCCUAAGCUUGACUAGAUCCCCCACAAUGCCCUUGCAACCUUAGUGCCUCAGGCAGAGAAGGGAUGCUGACAGAGCUAAAAGAAAAGAAUCCAGGAGGCAACUCAGGCUUAAAGUCCAUGUCCUGGGACAUUUGAUCCCCUCAGGCCCUGCCCAGCCCAUUGUCCUGUGGAACUUGGUGCCACAGUUUGAAUUUUGAAUCCAUGUCUGCAUGGCCAUCCUUGUGCUUAUCCUGACUCCACCGGGAGUCAUUACCACUGCUUCCAAAAUACCAUAUGAGGGGUGCCUGGUGAUAGCACAAGCUUUUCAGACUAGAUAACUAUCUAGUCUGCUGGCCCUUCGAAGUCAGCUACUGCUGAGCUCAACUGUUCAACCCCAGUAGCUUUUCAACACCACAAUUUCCAGUUUCCAUUUCUGCCCAUGCUUGGUUGCUUAGGAUGGAGAGAAAAUGUUCCAGGGUUACUUCUCUACCACUUUCCUCAAAGAACCAGCCUUGAGAUCCCAGCACAUCUAGUAACAUGCUGUAGAGCAAGAGGUGCACUAUGUUCCAGGUCUAGGCCUGGGAGAGGCUGCAGGCAGAGACAGCCCAGUUUAUAGGCUGUUAGGGAGCAGCCCCGCUGUGCAUCACACCCUGAGCUGCUGCUCUGAGCAUAGAGAUGCUGCUUCACUGGGGUGGUCUACAGUGAGGGUGUGGCUGCAUUUUUGUUAAGUAUAUGCUAUAUGCCAUUACUGUGUCCCCAGCUCAUGAGCAUCCCUAAGCCUAAGGAGACCCAGAGAGCAGGACAGCAAGGGGACAGCCCCUGCCCAUGAAAAGAAAAGGAGACCAACCCCACAGCUGGCCUGCCGCUCAUCAAAAAUCCUUUCUGAGCCCAAUCAGUUCCCAUGCCUUGUGGAGAAACCAGUACCCUCUCCUCUCAAAAAUGCCUGGCUGUCAUGUAUACACAUAAAUGAGCCCAAAAUCCACAUCCCAUAGUUACAGAAGUGCCAUCUCUUUAAACAGGUUCUCAAAUGUUCUCACCUGGGGUCCUGAGUAAGGAGACUUCUCAGUUUGGGGUUCAGACCCUGGAAUGGAAGCAGGCCCUGUGCUGGAAGGCCAAUGACCAUCACUGUUGCCGUGACGACUCUUAUUCUUCAAAUAACUCCUGGUUUGUUUUCGAACCGAGCUUUUCCGGGCAUGAUCAGAAUCCUGCAGUGAAAGGGGUAUGUUGGGAACCAGCCCUUGUCUGGCCCUAAACUUCUGGCCUUCUUCACCCAUGGCAAGGGUGAGUUGUGAAAUCUAUCAUGAUUUACCUGCAGCUUUGGCCCCCACACUCAAGGUUCAGAGUCCUCCAGGCAUUGUGUAGACACACAUUAAACAUUCACCCAUUUUCUACAACACCGGAGGAGGAAGAGGGACCUUUACCUCAUUGCUUUCUAUGGAGGCUUCACUGCUGAGACCCUGGGCUCUUGCUAGGCCAUCACUGCUGCUGCUCCUCCACACAGGCCCAAGACUGGCACAGAAAGUGGGUUCCUCUGGUAAUGGAAAACACCUGAUGACAGGUCUCACCAGUGAGGCUGCCUGGGUUGUUAGCUCAUUCUCAACUGCCUUUUAACACAGCUCAGCACUGUUUGUGUGGCCAACCCCACACUAUAGGAUACACAGAGCUUGUUUGGGUUUUUUGUUUUUGUUUUUUGGUUGGUUGGUUGGUUUUAUUUUUUAUUGUGUGCUCAUCAAUUCCACACCUCUACAGCAGAGCUUGGCAUGAGACAGGAACUUGGUAAGGCACUGCCAGGUCAUAGCACACGCCUCCUGCUGGGAAGAUUGUCAGGAAGCCCUUGGACUGACCCUUUGAGUACUGUGUGCCUCAUCAACCUGUGGGACCUCCAGAAUCGGGAUGCUUGCCGUCACCUGCCCAUGGCCAACUCUGGCUUACCUCACAAGAACUGAGGCCUUCUCUAUCUCCUCCUCUAUGGGAACACAAAAGGAUUGGGGUGCAUACCCCGGCUGCUGCUGCUACUGCUCUCCACAUCCUGUUCAUUGAUGGGGGAAGUGACGUCUCUGUAGCAGAGGCCCUCGCUUUCCAUGGUAUUCUCAUCACUGCUGGUGAAGGUCACGUAGCCCCGUGGAGGGACUUGCUCUGUGUACAGAAUGGGCAUGUGAACCCUCAGACAUGAAUGAAGCUACCACCCCUCUUAAGAGUUUGAGGGUGAAGCAGCCCCACAGCCACAUCAUCUCCUUGCAUAGUAACAUGGCCAUGCUCCAAGAGAGAUGAGCUUGUACAUCACGGGACAUGAGCGUGGUGGAGACAGAGCUAGCACCCAGGGCAAGGUCAGUCCCCUUAGCACUGCUACUAUUUUCUUAGGGACAGAGUGGGAAGUAGCAGGCUGGAUCUAUAGACUCCUAAACUGAAAGGUUAUCUGGGCACAUUUAAAAUAAACUCCAAAGCCGGGCG